rnacentral:rRNA from 1 species
CUACGGGUGGCACCAGUGGGGAAUAUUGGACAAUGGGCGCAAGCCUGAUCCAGCAAUACCGCGUGUGUGAAGAAGGCCUGCGGGUUGUAAAGCACUUUCAAUUGUGAAGAAAAGCCUGGGGUUAAUACCCUCGGGUCUUGACGUUAACUUUAGAAGAAGCACCGGCUAACUCCGUGCCAGCAGCCGCGGUAAUACGGAGGGUGCGAGCGUUAAUCGGAAUUACUGGGCGUAAAGCGUGCGUAGGCGGCUAGGUCAGUCAGAUGUGAAAGCCCCGGGCUUAACCUGGGAACUGCAUUUGAUACUACCUGGCUAGAGUAUGGUAGAGGGAAGUGGAAUGCCGGGUGUAGCGGUGAAAUGCGUAGAUAUCCGGAGGAACACCAGUGGCGAAGGCGACUUCCUGGACCAAUACUGACGCUGAGGUACGAAAGCGUGGGUAGCAAACAGGAUUAGAUACCCCCGUAGUC